rnacentral:lncRNA from 1 species
CCCACCCUGGUGUCCAGGGCUGGGGCCCCUCUCCUCAGACCCUGCACACGUGUGGCUCUCCGCAUUCGCUCCAUGUCCUCUGCAGCCCCCCAGCUGGCAUUCACCUCCUCUCAUCCAGCGCUGCCCCAGCCUUGGCUACAUUUGCAAAAUGGAAUGCCAGUCAGGCCCGAGAGGGGCCUGGCCAGCCUGCCGUGAUGCUCUUGGUCAGUAACUGGCCAUGGGCAUCUCUGCACUGUUGGUGGCUGGGGAUUCCCAUGCAUAGCCCGUGGGUUUGACGAGGGGGUCUGAGCCAAACUGAGCCUCUACAGUGAGUCCUCCCUGCAUGCCCCCACCAGCUCUGAGCCCAGAUGGGAUACAGCAUCCCCACACAUCCCACGUGGAGUGUCUGGGAGGUGAGGGAGAAGGCUGCCAGGCUUCCUGUGGCUGGCUGUCUCCGGAACAUUCUUUAUUUCUUUUUGCACAUUUUAUGUCGUCUUUAUCUGCAGGACACAGAGGCAUCUGUCCGCCCAUGUUUCAGUGGGGUGUGGAGAGGACCCUUUGGUCUGCAGGGGCAGGAACGCUUAUCCCCAGGGCUCUUUCCUCCUGCACCCCUGUCCCCGCCCAGCUCCAGGGCCUGCCUGGAGCGGGUGGUGGCUGAGAGUGACUCAGUGGCUGCUGGGUGUCCUUGGCCUGCCUGGAGUUUCCAGUGGGGGUUUGUGGGUGGCCUGCCAUGUGGGGGGCCCACGG